rnacentral:rRNA from 1 species
GCCAGCGGGGAUAGUACGUUGAACGCACCAGUUCCGGAUGAAUGAGUGAAGUUAAGCAACGUUAGGCGUGGCUCGUAACCAGAUGGGUGACCAUCUGGGCAACGGCGUCCUGCUGAUG